ACAGUGGUGGUUCAGUGGUAGAAUGUCUGCCUUCCGUGUGGGAGACCCAGGUUCAAUUCCCAGCCAAGGCA
rnacentral:tRNA from 1 species